rnacentral:rRNA from 1 species
UACGUAGGGUGCGAGCGUUAAUCGGAAUUACUGGGCGUAAAGCGUGCGUAGGCGGUUUCAUAAGCUUGAUGUGAAAGCCCCGGGCUCAACCUGGGAAUGGCAUUGAGGACUGGCGCGCUCGAGUGCGGUAGAGGGGUGUGGAAUUCCCGGUGUAGCAGUGAAAUGCGUAGAUAUCGGGAGGAACAUCUGUGGCGAAGGCGACACCCUGGACCAGCACUGACACUGAGGCACGAAAGCGUGGGGAGCAAACAGG